AUUUAAAUAGUUUAAUAAAAAAAAUAUUGAUUUGUGGAAUCAAAGUUGUAAAUUUUACUUUAAAUA
rnacentral:tRNA from 1 species